CAGCCGCUGUGUGCCGGGCCACCAGGCACGGCUACAGGUCAACCGCGAGACAUGCUGAGCACUUAUGCAUCACCUCCUCACAGAGCUACAGAUACCCGACCCACACGUCCCUCAGCAGUCUUUCACACUUUUUUCAUGGAAAAUGAGAAGUGAGAAAUGGAGGCACAGAAGAAAAUGAAAGCACAGCAAAUGGAAAGAGAGGAGAAAGAUGAAACUCCUGGAAGGGCUGCUAAGGAUCAACAAGGGAAGCUAGUGGGUGGCUGCAUGGGUCUGAGCUGGUGGCUGGGCUUAAACCACAACUGCAUUUUUCAGUAUUAUGCUUCAAAUGAUCAGUAAUGGCAUGUGAACCUCUGGCCACUGAACAACUGAAAUCCAGCCAAAACAAGCAAUGAUUUGAAGUUACCUGGACAAACCUUGUCCCUAUGUAUUAUAAACUCUACAUUAAAUAUAUAAAAAAUACCCAACAAACAAAUCACCCCAUUUAUUACCACAAGUCACCUUUAUUUAUAGAAUCAGCAGAGAAGCCAAGUUCAUAUGGCACUGGGCACU